rnacentral:rRNA from 1 species
ACUCAAAUGAAUAGACGGGGGCCCGCACAAGCGGUGGAGUAUGUGGUUUAAUUCGAAGCAACGCGCAGAACCUUACCUGGGCUUAACAUCCACUGACAUCCCCAGAGAUGGGGCUUCUCCUUCGGGAGCAGUGAGAUAGGUGCUGCAUGGCUGUCGUCAGCUCGUGUCGUAAGAUGUUGGGUUAAGUCCCGCAACGAGCGCAACCCUUGCCUUUAGUUGCCACCAUUAAGUUGGGCACUCUGAAGGGACUGCCGGUGUUAAACCGGAGGAAGGCGGGGAUGACGUCAAGUCCUCAUGGCCCUUACGUCCAGGGCUACACACGUACUACAAUGGCAGAGACAAAGGGUCGCGAAGCCGCGAGGUGGAGCUAAUCCCAAAAACACUGUCUCAGUCCGGAUUGAAGUCUGCAACUCGACUUCAUGAAGCUGGAAUCGCUAGUAAUCGCAGAUCAGCACGCUGCGGUGAAUACGUUCCCGGGCCUUGUACACACCGCCCGU